rnacentral:lncRNA from 1 species
CUGUUCAGUGCACCGCACCUCACUGGAGUCUUCCUUCAGUUUUAGCCAUUUCUUCCUUUGACUUUUCCCUUCAUUUUUUUCCCCAAUUUCCGUUUCUCACCUUUUCACCUCACGGCCACAUAAUGUGGAAAUUGAAGAGCAGCCGUCACCUUUACUCUUUCUUUUGCUUUCCCUUUCUAUAAUUGAAGAGCCGGCUCAUUGAACUCUUAUUUUGUUCUCCAAUGGAAAUUUCUGCCGGCCGUCAACAGAUGUGAGCCGCAGCCAGCCGUCAACAGAUGUGAGAAAUUGAAGAGCCGGCCGUCACUUUCUCUUUCUUUUGCUUUCCCUUUCUAUAAUUGAAGAGCCGGCUCAUUGAACAAUAUUUUGUUCUCCAAUGGAAAUUUCAGCCGGCCGUCAACAGAUGUGAGCUGCAGCCACACGUCAACAGAUGUGAGCCGGACGAUGACAGAUAUGAACCGCAGCCGGAUGAUGAAGAAAUUGAAGAACCAAUCGAUUUGUUUCUCCAGCCGGCCGUCACUUUUAAUCUGGAGUGAAGCUGAUGGAUUACGGAGGAAUUGCUGGUAUGGUUCUCUUUAUCCCCACUUUUCCCUAAAGCUUGUCUUUGUGGCUGAAAAAUGAAAAAAUAAAGCAGGGGAAAAGACUGCAACAACCGUGUGGAGUCUGUGGACCACCUUUGGUAAUUGUAGUUUUGUUUGGUUUUGUAAAGGCUCUGCAACAGCCAUAGCUAGUUGUGGUCUGAUGCCAUUUGUGUCCUUUGAUGCCUUUUGUGUCCUUUCGUGUCGGUUCCUUUUUUGUUUAGUUUUGGGUUCCCAGUUGCUAUUUAACUUAUUUACCGGUACAUAUCCGAGUCGAAUCCGAGAAUUUGGCCGUUAUCUUGCUACACGGUGCUAAUUCGGAGGAUAUCGGCUGAUUCGGAGCGAUUCAAAUCGGAUAUGGUGUAAUCGGUGUUUCAGGUAUCGGUAUCGGAACGGCAGGUGCCGUUCCGGUUAUGACUCGGCCGAGUCAUAACGGACUCGGCCGAGUUGGCGAACCAUACCUGUGACGCGUCCCAUUUUUUAUAAGAAGAAAAAUAAAAGACGAGUUUAG